GGGAGCUUGAGAAGGGCUAAAUGUACAGUGGCUCAAAGAAGCCACUACCAAAGCAGAGAUGCACUGGGCACAGUACAGCCAACAGUAGAAGAUGAAACUGCUCUGGACUCAGAUUCAAGGUUUGUGAAGGGUCAGUUCCUGAGGGCAACUGGAAUCUUGGAAAAGGGAAGAGUUUAAGUCUCCGUCCACAAAGGCAAAAAAAGAAAUCACACAGAGCAUACUUUAGCACACACCUGAGGUUAAGGACCCAGCACCACCAGGCAGCAAUGGCUUCAACCACAAAAUUCUUGCUGGUCUUCUGCUUGAUCCUCUUCUCAAGGACUCUGUGCGAUGCCCGCUGCUACUUUAGAACAUCCAGCAAGUACGGGUGCAUUUCAAACAGAAACCUCUACGUUUUUGGUGCAGUGUGGAAGACUGAAGAUUGUUACCAAUGCAAGUGUAAGAUGAAUGCGAUGGUUUGCUGCAGCUUGUAAGUUCCCACAAAUUAUUGCUUGCUUAUUAAGGAACUGGUUGAUAUGUUCAGACUUAAAGAGUGCUGGUGAAAGCCUGAGCUUGAAUAUCAUAUUCCCUCGAGCAAAAUUCCUUUUCCUAUAUCCCAGUUAGCUCUAAUCAUGACUAAGUAGAAUUACCUGAUAACCACAUAGACUUAUUUGGAAAGAAACAAAGUGAAAGACAGCAAAGUUCUUACAGAGGACACAGUUCUUCCUCAUCACAGACUGGCUUAGGUUGGAAGGGAUCUUAAUGAUUAUCAAGCUCCAACCCCUUCUGGUGACAGCUCCUUAGUGUUGAUA
rnacentral:lncRNA from 1 species